AAAAAAAAGCCAAAGUCAUUUGUCUGUGCCACAGACAAAUUUACCAGAUUGACCUCUAGCCAACCAUGCCCUAGUCUUUCCUGUUAAAAUGUUAUAUGAAUGGCAUCGUAUUGAGCUGUGUGUGGUAGUAAUAUCUCUUUUAACAUAAAUGUAAGAGAUCUGAUCAGAUUCCCCUGUGGUGUCCAUAGUUCCUGUCACCCAGCUAAUGUUGUCGCUGCUCCCUUGCCACCCCUUUCACCACCCAGCUUCCGAGUGUCAUGGCACUGCCCCAUGCAGCCACCAGGAGGCGCUGGUGCACUUUGUAGGAUUUACGCUCUUGCGCCUGCAAAGAAACACAAUGUUCUUGCAGGAAGUGAGUCUUAAGAUCCCCCCCCCCUCCGCCCCUCCCAUGGUGUUUCUUGUUCUGUAGUAUUUAACAGCAGUGUUUGUUCCGUUGCUCAGUGUUUACCGAAUACCCACUGGGUCUCCAGGCAUUGUGCCACGCACUGGGGGCGGCACAGAAACGGAAGGCUGCCUGCCUCUGGUACAAUAGGAGACAUCAGGCACUCUCAGGUGCAUACGGAGGCCAGAAGAGGGCGUCAGAUCCCCCGGGCCUGGAGUUACAGACGACUGACUGUGGACUGCCAAUACAGGGUGGGGUGACGGGGUGGGAGCUGGAGGAAGGUCCUCUUCAAGAGCAGCAAACGCUCUAAACCACGGUGCUGAGGACUCCUCUUCCCCACCUAAACAGCCUUGAAACGAAGCAGCAGCGGGCAAAGCGUGACUCAGAAAAAAUAAAGAAGUAGCAGAGGAGACAGGGUCCUCCUGGCUGCUUUUGGAUCAAGAUGUAGAACUCUCGGCUGCUCCAACAACCAUGUCUGCCUGCGCAUUGCCAUGCUUCCCG